CCAUGGGGUUCAUAAUGCGUAAUCUGCUUUUUAAUUAAUAGAUAAUAUAGACACAAUGCACUGUGGAGAAAUUAUAUAAAUUAUAGAUAAUAAUUCGGACAUAGUGAAAUCAAUCAAUCAUAGGAAAUUAUUUAUCUGAUAUCCAAUGAGCAUAGACUUUUAGUAAUUAUAUAAUACAUCUGGUGGAGAAAGGAAGAAUUAAGGAAAAAGAUUGCCAUUGUCACGUCUGCGCUGACCCGGGAUUACAAAAUAAAACUAUAGAUUAAGACUUCAAAAUUCUCUAGACGUAACUAUAAAUAAGGGACACUUCUUCUUUGUAGAUUAAAUUGAAUUAGAAUUAAAAUGGGAACCGACCUUAAAACUGUAUAAUAAUUAGAUACAAUGUUCCAGCCUAAAUAUACAUAAAAUACUUCCAAAAGUUGUUCUUUAAGAGCGGCGUGACUAAGGCCAACUUAAACAAAGAAAGAGCGAGGAACAACGGACGCUAGCACAUACGCAAAUACAUGCGACAAAUUCACGGGUCUUCAUCCUCAUCACCAGUACGUAAUACCUUGAACGUCCGCAGUCCUCGUAUCAGGAGGAAUCUCUUUGGACAUCCCUGCCGCCUGCUAAGGGGAGAACCACCACGAACCAAUGACGACACCGCAGCAAAUUACCUUUCGCUGAUUGGUCAACGCUCUUUAUUUAACCGACUGCACAGAUCCAUUUUAUGAUUUUUGCUCUUAGAUUCUCGCAAUGCUAGAUAAUCACUCCGAUAUACAUUUUAUUCGACUCAGUCUUUGUUACGAUUAUUCUUAGUUAUUAUUUAUUUUUACUUAUUUUUUAAUUAUUAUUAUUGUCUUGAACGGAUCAUUAUUCUUGUAUCUAUUUGUUGUUGCUAUUUUGAAUAAAUUAAAUAUUGUUGAAGCAGUCUAAGUUAAUAAUCCCGGUUGUGUCUACAGAAACAACUCAUUUUCCUAAUUCAUAUCGAGACAAAUCUUAAUUCUGUUUUCUUCGAUUACAUGUUGCUUAAACGCGAUCAAAGAAUUCAUACAUCACGGCACAGUCGACAAAUUCUUUCGUGCUAUUUCGCUAAUUAUCUCAACUCCCUUCUGGAAUCCAGCCGAAUGAGUCGAGGACAAAUAAAACCAAUACGGCGGUAACUAUAUUCAAUCCACUAAUCAAUGAAGUGGAUCACAGCGAGUCCCCUUCGGACAAUCCUCUUUGUCAAGACGCCUCUCGUUCUAAAAUAAAUCGCAGCGUUAAACGCUAAGGCAGGUGCUACCUUAUUGACUAGCGUACUUCGUUCGACGCACCAUCAAGUGCCAGUCUCGUGCCAUAGAACUGCAUACAGCAGAUUUCAAGAUGCCAUUAAAUAAAAAUUAUUUUUCACAAAAAAUA